rnacentral:lncRNA from 1 species
AACAGUCUCGAUCACUUUCGAUUCUUCUCUGGUUUUCCCCCACUCGUACGAUCCCUCCAACUCCGCCGAGAGAUCAAUCUGACCUUCCGCUAUAAAUGGGAUUCCAGUUUUGAUGGUGGUAUGAACACCAGUUUUGUGGUCUCUGUGUAAGUCAACUUCACUUCAGCUUCAGUGGGUUGACUUGAUCUGUUCACUGCACAACCCUUCGUCAUGCUAAGGGGUUUCUCGUUAUAGAUGCGAGCAUCGAGAAGACGAAAAUUUACGUUAUAGAUCUGCCGGGAAACCAACAGUUCAACAACUUCCAGUCGUGCCUCUCUAGCAAUCGUCGGAACGGCGGCGUUUAGACAAUUCGUCUUGUCUUCAUCCGUGAGUCGCUUGCAGAAAAAAUUAUUACCCAAGUUUUUAAUCUUACCCAGUAUUUGUUAUUGUAACAGCGUCUUAUAUGGACUAAUCCUUUCCCGAUCUUCGCCGGUUCAACCUCGAACUUGACGUGUGGACUCACGGCUUCCAACUCCGGAGAACUGGAGAAGACCAUGCACCUGAACAUCUUCGUGGAUGUAUCGGAGAUAUUUCUGGUUUUCGGGUGAUUUGAUCACGACGUACCUCGGCAGUUCCAUUUUGCUUAGUGUUCUUUCUUCUUGGAAAUCAAUUUCUUGCUUCUGGUUUCCACAGGUAAAGAUUUGCUAUGUAUUCAUAGGCGUAUAUGUAUGUGUGAAUGCAAAUGUGUCCAAGUCUUAGAUUAAUCAAUUGGAAAUAUCCGUGACCAUUCAUUAUUUUCUGAAUAAUUUAUUACUUCCCAUUUCCCCUGCUGACAAGCUUUUAUUACAGACAAGAUAAUUGAAUAGACAGAUAAUAUAUAUAUAUAUAUAUAUAUAUAGUGUGUGUGUGUGUGUGUGUGUGUGUCUGUACGAUAAUGUGUGUGUGGCGCCACAGAAACUUCCAAAUGCUAUGUUUUCCAAUUUACUGGGAAGAUCGGUUGAAUUAUUCAUGUUAGUGCAAGUUACAUUAUUGUUGACUUAAAAAGACUUGAAGAAACAUUAUAUAUAUUAAGUAAUACUAAUUAUAUAUAUGUUAAUAAAAAUUAGUGUUGUGUCUCAGGGAUGCAUUAUAUAUAUCUAUAUAUAUAAUGUCUGAAUCCUAAUGUUAUAUAUAUAUAUAAUUUUCUUUUUUAAAAAGUUUACUUAUAUAUAUAUAUAUAUGAAUCAUACACCAUAAUUUACAUAUAUAUAUAUGAGUGAUUUUACAAGUAAGCAAUACAACAUGUUUAACGAAGAUAAGACAAUUAAAUUUUUUUUCAUAAUUUACAUAGACUACUCGUUUUUAUCUUUUCAUGGUAAUGUUUUAAUGAUCAAAUCUUAUAAGGGAAUGGAAAAUAAGUGUUUAACAUAUAAAAAUAUCAUAUGAUAGAAUCAAAUGCAACUCAUAAACAUAAAAAUAUUAUCGGUUAUACUACAAAGAAAUUGAAAGAAUUAUAUAAUAUUUUAAAAAAUUUUAAGAAUAAUUUAAAAUAUCUUAUUUUAAUUUUAUUUUUAUUUAAAUAUCAUAAUAUUACGAGAAUAUAAAUUUUAGUUAAAUCGUCUAAUAAUAAGAACGAAUAAUCUCGAGUGUAUUUGGUCUUACAAUACAUUUGUCAAGUCUUUUAAGAUUAAAAUUUAACUUCUUGAUAAUAAAUUUAAAGAGAAUUUCUCGUAAAAUUUUUAACUAUUAUAUUUUUUCUUUUGCCUCUCGUAAAGUUUAGUGGGUACACAAAAGAUUUUUCGAUACUAAUUUCGUUUUUCAUUGUUGCUAUAAAUAAAUAAUUUAAUAUUUCAUAUAAUCAAAAUAUAUAUGUUAUAUUAUAUUAUGCAUAUGUAUACUAAUAUCAAUACAAGAAAUUUCUUAAAAAUAAAACAUAUAUUUAAAAGUAAUUUGUAAACAAAACAUAAUAUAUAAGUGGGACUAUUUAAUCCGCUUUAUUUAUUUAUUUAUUUAUUAUUUAGCAUAUCAAGCCGUAUGGUACACCUUAUUCAUUUAUUUAUUUAUAUUUAGACCAUACAAGCUCCCAAAUACGACGUCGUAGUAUCACAGCUUCUCUUCUUUAGUCUCGUACUUGAAAUUGAAGCAAUUGAUACCUGUGUAAAUCCCGUCGUGCAGGUAGCGGGUGACUUGCAUUCCGUUCGUCAGAGUGUCCCGCUGAGAAUACGAAAAUGGGACGUCGCAGGAACCUUUCGUCGCCAGCAAGGUGAUCGUCAUUUUAGUAUUCGGGGGCACGGUGACCUUGUAAACAGUCUCGAUCACUUUCGAUUCUUCUCUGGUUUUCCCCCACUCGUAUGAUCCUUCCAAAUCCGCCGAGAUAUCAAUCUGACCUUCCGCUAUAAAUGGUAUUCCAGUUUUGAUGGUGGUAUGAACACCAAGUUUCAGCGAAACGCUGGCGUUCCAUGUACUGCUCGUGGUCUCUGUGUAAGUCAACUUCACUUCAGCUUCAUUGGAUUGACUUGAACUGUUCACUGCAUAUCCCUUCGUCAUGCUAAUAGGUUUCUCGUUAUAGAUCCGAGCAUCGAGGAGACGGAAGUUUACGUUAUAGAUCUGCCGGGAAACCACCAGUUCAACAACCUCCAGUCGUGCCUCUCUAGCAAUCGUCGGAACGG